rnacentral:lncRNA from 1 species
ACUCAAUCAUGUACAGUACAUGAUCAGUUACCGAGGUCCCAUCUUUCAUUCGGGCGCUGAAGAUGGCACAACUAGUUUUGUGCCUCUCAACGUCGUCAGGAACGCCGAAUGAUUCAUUCAACAUUUGAAUGAUAUCUUUCGGCUGUGUAUUCUCAAAACGCCUACUAAACUCAUCACUCAUUGCUGCCAACAUGAUGCAUCGAACAGUGAUCCGGUCACUGAGCCACUUCUGAUAAGUGUCUCUGGCCGAUCUUGAUGCAUUAGCAGCGGGCU